rnacentral:lncRNA from 1 species
AUGUCCUACUGCCAGCAGGAAGGGAAGGAUGCAAUCAUUUGUGAUGUAAAAAGACCAUGCAGCUCCAAGCAACACAGCUGAUGACCCCAGUGAUCCCUAUGGGGGGAGCACGGAUUGAGGCUGCCAAAUGGAGACAUUAACUGGAACUGCCUGUGCCUUGGGGGAAGGGCCAGCGGCCCCUGUGGGGAACAAUUCAAGCUGGACUUUUCCUGCUUCCACUAUAGUAUGGAGAAUGUCAAGGGGUCAGACUGUGUAGACCAAUUGGGGCCAUGCAGGAAUGCAUGCAGAAAUACCCAGAUCUUUGUCCCCAAGAAGGUGAGGCAGAGGUAGAGGAAAAGCCCGCAGAACAUGUAGAAGUAGCAGCUCCCACUGAGGCCACUGCAACCAAAGAGGAGGAGGGGUCAAGUUAA